CCAACCGAUAGCAUACCUUUAACUUCUGACGAUGUAUCGGUAGCGGUGGAGGCGUCGAGAUCGAAAGACGUGGCAGCGAUUAACAAAGGACGGUGUAUCGGUGGCGGUGGAGGCGUCGAGAUCGGAACAAACGACGGUGUAUCGGUGGCGGUGGAGGCGUCGAGAUCAGAAGACGUGGCAGCGAAGCAAUAGAGGAAGAUAAAGAGAAGAAGCAUAACAAGCAGCCGAGAGUUUGAAAAAUGUAUGAAGAUGAUGAUCUUGAUCAGGAUAAAGGUUGAAGAUGAUGAUCUUCAUCAGAGAUGAAGAUAUGAAGAGAGAGAAAUGUAAGGAAUCCGGAUCGUCAAGUGGACAAGCCGAUGGAGAUACGCGUUUGAAGAGGGUGCUAUAAAGGUGAUAUUGGAGACAUUCCGGAUGGCGAUCAAGCAUGUUUGAAGAACCGAACACGAACUUUUGAAGCUUCCGUAAUUAUCUAGUUUUGUUUUGGAAAAAGUGGAAUAUGUAGACUUUUCGAACUAUGUUUUAGAAUGUUGUGAACAUGUGUAAACACUCAAGAAGUAAAAGUUUUUGAUAAGUGGCAUU
rnacentral:lncRNA from 1 species